ACCUGCGGAGGGAUCAUUACUGAGUUUACGCUCUACAACCCUUUGUGAACAUACCUAUAACUGUUGCUUCGGCGGGUAGGGUCUCCGUGACCCUCCCGGCCUCCCGCCCCCGGGCGGGUCGGCGCCCGCCGGAGGAUAACCAAACUCUGAUUUAACGACGUUUCUUCUGAGUGGUACAAGCAAAUAAUCAAAACUUUUAACAACGGAUCUCUUGGUUCUGGCAUCGAUGAAGAACGCAGCGAAAUGCGAUAAGUAAUGUGAAUUGCAGAAUUCAGUGAAUCAUCGAAUCUUUGAACGCACAUUGCGCCCGCCAGCAUUCUGGCGGGCAUGCCUGUUCGAGCGUCAUUUCAACCCUCAAGCUCUGCUUGGUGUUGGGGCCCUACAGCUGAUGUAGGCCCUCAAAGGUAGUGGCGGACCCUCCCGGAGCCUCCUUUGCGUAGUAACUUUACGUCUCGCACUGGGAUCCGGAGGGACUCUUGCCGUAAAACCCCCAAUUUUCCAAAGGUUGACCUCGGAUCAGGUAGGAAUACCCGCUGAACUUAAGCAUAUCAAUA
rnacentral:rRNA from 1 species